ACUGUGCUAUUUCUAGGGAGUGAAUUUCCUGUGAUUUGAAGUGAUUUAAACGUUUUGAUAAAAUAUAUCUGAAUGAUGGGAGCCAGCAGUAAAAAGAAAACCUGAUUUGAUAAGCUGUGAGUUGGAAUAAUUACGGAUAGAUCUACUGGUGGAGGGGAGUGAGACAGUCCUUGACAAUAGAUACAGGUGAUAGAUAGACAUACCCAGGAAAGGUUCAGGAAGUGAAACGAGUACCAUUCAUGAUUUCUAUUGACUAUUAAAGCUUGUAUUGAGAUGGACAGUAUUGGCACCAGGAAAUCACAUCAAUUGGCAUUAUCUGGUUUCAUUGAGAGGAAACUUAUUAUAAGUGUUAUGUCAUAAUUACCAUUAUAAAGUGGUAAAUAUUGCAAAAACUAAUAAAUUGAAUUGAGAGAUGCUCCAAUUAUAUGAUGAACUUGAUCUGUAGAUAAACCUGCUACAGACUAAAGAAUGAAGUUGUAACUCGAUAUCUUAUAAAACAUGUAGAAGUUGUUGAGAGUGGACCCCAUCCAUAUAUAUAGAACAAACUUCCUGGUCGGUAGAAUGGCUGGAGAAUGAGGAAGUACAAUGCUUGAGGAGACCAGCUCACAGCCCCACUUCCUUCCUGUUGUGGCAGUCUCGGGGCUGGGGCUGAUUCUCUCCCUUUAUCUACUCGUGCUCUGUGUCUGUGCCAAAAG
rnacentral:misc_RNA from 1 species